rnacentral:rRNA from 1 species
GUACGAGCGCACCCUUGUCCUUAGUUGCCAUCAUUUAGUUGGGGACUCUAAGGAGACUGCCGGUGACAAACCGGAGGAAGGCGGGGACGACGUCAAGUCAUCAUGGCCCUUACGAGUAGGGCUACACACGUGCUACAAUGGCAAGUACAGAGGGCCGCAAAGCCGCGAGGUGGAGCUAAUCUCACAAAGCUUGUCGUAGUCCGGAUUGGAGUCUGCAACUCGACUCCAUGAAGUCGGAAUCGCUAGUAAUCGUGAAUCAGAAUGUCACGGUGAAUACGUUCCCGGGCCUUGUACACACCGCCCGUCACACCAUGGGAGUGGGUUGCUCCAGAAGUAGAUAGCUUAACCUUCGGGAGAGCGUUUACCACGGAGUGAUUCAUGACUGGGGUGAAGUCGUAACAAGGUAGCCCUAGGGGAACCUGGGGCUGGAUCACCUCCUU